rnacentral:rRNA from 1 species
UACGGGGGGGCAAGCGUUGUUCGGAAUUACUGGGCGUAAAGCGUGCGUAGACGGUUAUGUAAGUCAGAUGUGAAAGCCCCGGGCUUAACCUGGGAAUGGCAUUUGAGACUGCAUAGCUAGGGUGCGGAAGAGGGAAGCGGAAGUUCCGGUGUAGCGGUGAAAUGCGUAGAUAUCGGAAGGAACACCAGUGGCGAAAGCGGCUCCUGGUC